CCUACGGGAGGCAGCAGUGGGGAAUUUUCCGCAAUGGGCGAAAGCCUGACGGAGCAAUACCGCGUGAGGGAAGAAUGCCUACGGGUUGUAAACCUCUUUUAUCAGGGAGGAACAAAAUGACGUGUACCUGAUGAAUAAGCAUCGGCUAACUCUGUGCCAGCAGCCGCGGUAAGACAGAGGAUGCAAGUGUUAUCCGGAAUUACUGGGCGUAAAGCGUCUGUAGGUUGUUGAACAAGUCAACUGUUAAAUCUUGAAGCUCAACUUCAAAAUCGCAGUCGAAACUGUUUGACUAGAGUAUAGUAGAGGUAAAGGGAAUUUCCAGUGGAGCGGUGAAAUGCGUAGAUAUUGGAAAGAACACCGAUGGCGAAAGCACUUUACUGGGCUAUUACUGACACUCAGAGACGACAGCUAGGGUAGCAAAUGGGAUUAGAUACCCCAGUAGUCCUAGCCGUAAACUAUGGAUACUAGAUGUUGAACAGAUCGACCUGUGCAGUAUUAAAGCUAACGCGUUAAGUAUCCCGCCCGGGAAGUAUGCUCGCAAGAGUGAAACUCAAAGGAAUUGACGGCUUGAGNGNGCGACGACGACGACGAGGAGAGG
rnacentral:rRNA from 1 species